AGAACGAACGCUGGCGGCAUGCCUAAUACAUGCAAGUCGAACGAACACUUCGGUGUUAGUGGCGCACGGGUGCGUAACGCGUGGGAAUCUGCCCUUGGGUUCGGAAUAACAGUUGGAAACGACUGCUAAUACCGGAUGAUAUCGAAAGAUCAAAGAUUUAUCGCCCAGGGAUGAGCCCGCGUAGGAUUAGCUAGUUGGUGAGGUAAAGGCUCACCAAGGCGACGAUCCUUAGCUGGUCUGAGAGGAUGAUCAGCCACACUGGGACUGAGACACGGCCCAGACUCCUACGGGAGGCAGCAGUAGGGAAUAUUGGACAAUGGGGCGCAAGCCUGAUCCAGCAAUGCCGCGUGAGUGAUGAAGGUCCGUUAGGGUUGUAAAGCUUACUUUUACCCGAGAUGAUAAUGACAGUAUCGGAAGAAGUAACGCCCCGGUACUAACCUCCGGUACGCCAGCACGGCCGUACGGUAAUCCGUUAGGACGGUACCGGGCGUACGGACGUAAACGGCGAC
rnacentral:rRNA from 1 species